CCCUUAGAUGUUCUCGGCCGCACACGCGCUACACUGAAAGAGGCAACGUGUUUGCCUGAUUCGAAAGAAUUGGGUAACCCCCUAAUCUCUUUCGUGCUGGGGAUUGAGGUUUGCAAUUAUCCUUCAUGAACGAGGAAUUCCCAGUAAGUGCGAGUCAUUAUCUCGCGCUGACUACGUCCCUGCCCUUUGUACACACCGCCCGUCGCUACUACCGAUUGAAUGAUUUAGUGAGGACUUCGGACUGAGUCCAAUGCUGCUUUCGGGCUGCGUUGGUAUUUCGGAAAGAUGUCCAAACUGUAUCAUUUAGAGGAAGUAAAAGUCGUAACA
rnacentral:rRNA from 1 species